ensembl:lncRNA
UAUAUUAGCUGAUGUGAAAUAUUUGCGGUGCUGAGAACCUCAGCAAACUAAUAUCUUGAAACAAGUAGCACCCUAUGGUAGCUAUACUCUCUCUUGGCUGUUCAGCCAGCUCAGGCAUGUCUGCACAGGAUUGCUUUGUGGUUUCAGUUUUGCAGUGAGACCAGCAAAUGCGUUUGCUGAUAAGUUAUGCUUGACAUCUCUGUGUGAGCUUGCCGAACUAUUGCCAGUGAAAUCUUUCUCUCACAGAAUGUAGCAGAAUCCAGCCAUCAAACUCAUCUGGGACUCAUUUCUUCCUUUUUCUUCUCAUCUCAAGUGGAGUAUGCUUAAUUCCCUUUUGGAGCAGCAAAAAUGGCAUGGAAAGAGGGAUGAGAAGUUGAGUUGAGUGAGCUAGGUGAAGCCCAGAUCCUACUACUGUGAUGUGCUGAUGGAUGGGAGUCUGCAUGACAUGAAAUGCAAUGAGAUGCAUACAGAAUUGAACUGUUGUUAAGCCCAUGGUCUGCUUAGACUGGACAGGUCAAACACCAACUGGAACAGAAAAGUGAACCCUUGUGCAAUGAGUAACAAAAAUAGAGGGAACACGAGGUAAAGUUACAAGGUGAAGAAUUAGUGCCAGUGUUACCAAGCAACGCACAGGUGACAAAUUAUGACCUAUGUUUAUGGACAGCAUACACCAACCUCACCCCUGCAGGGUGGAAGCCAGCAUCUUUGUGACCUUGCCACCUCACAGUCUGUGAUUAUAUCACCAGCUGGGACGCGAGAGCCAGAUAAUAACUUUUUUCCAUUCACAGGGAGUGUGUGAAUCUCCUUGAGGAACAGAAUGCCUGAAAUCAUUGGAUUCCAGGAUAGCUCAGCCUAUGACAGACUCAAACAUAUGAUUGCAGCUCUUAAAGUGUAACGAGACCCAACUGUACAGUGAAACAUUUCCAGACAUACGUAUGUGAUACAGGAAGAAUCAGGUGCAAAAAUUUCUCUGUUGUCUGGCCAUAAACUGCAACAAAUAUUCUCUGUAAAAUGUAAAAAUCCAGUGAACUCUCUAACACAAACCUUUAUUUAUGUUUGCACCCACCACACUUCUCUUUAGAGUUUAAGUAUCUUCAGAGUAAAAGUUGUGAGUUUUGGGUUGGUUUGGAUUUGUUGGUUGUUUUUUUUGUUUGUUUGUUUUUUGUUUUUUUGCUGUUUUGUUUUGCUUUGUUUUUAAUAAUACAUGCACAGAAGAAGGGACUUGAAUCCUCCUGUUCAGGAAGAAAAAAAAGAAUUUUCAUGCCUGUUAAUAUAUGAAUGUAUACAUAAAUCCAGAGUUGUACCGGACUUUCAAUAGCAUUAUGUUCAGCUGAGUGGCACCAUCAUAAGAGAGCUCCACGUUCACCAAGGGCUUGCGGAAGAGAGAGGACAGCAAGGAGAAGGCACAACAGGUACUAGGACAUGACAGUCAUUUGAAAAAGCAGGUAACAUUGAAAAAGCGUUGGACAAUAAGAGAUUCAGAGUAACUGACCAUAAUUUCAAUAGCCAGUUCAGCUGAAUGGGACUAAAUCCACCCACCAUGCUGUAUGCAUAUGAUAGGUAGGUACUGCCCUCUCUUUGUAUCUUAUCUCCUAAGAACACUAUGCUGAAGUAAUAAAAUAGUUCAGCAGUUGGAGACA